AACAUCUCCUUUUGAUUUUAAUUAAAGGUAAGGCCUGCUCAAUGAUUAAUUAAAUAGCCGCGAUAUUUUAUCGUGCAAAGGUAGCAUAAUAAUUUGUCCCUUAAUUAGGGGUCUAGAAAUGAAAGGGGUUUAACGAAGAAAAUAAAACUUUUUUUUAGUUCAAAAUUUUUUUUAAUUUAAUUUUUUAGUUAAAAAGCUAAAAUGGUAUUAUGGGACGAUAAGACCCUAUAAAAUUUUAUUUUAGUAUUUUCUAUUUUAAUAGUUUAGAAUUUUUAUAUUUUAAUUUUA
rnacentral:rRNA from 1 species